rnacentral:rRNA from 1 species
UACGUAGGGGGCAAGCGUUGUCCGGAAUCAUUGGGCGUAAAGGGUGCGCAGGCGGCCGAGUGUGUUAGAUGUGAAAUCCCGGGGCUCAACCCCGGAACUGCGUCUAAAACUACUUGGCUAGAGUAUUGGAGAGGGUAGCGGAAUUCACGGUGUAGCAGUGAAAUGCGUAGAUAUCGUGAGGAACACCAGAGGCGAAGGCGGCUACCUGGACAAUUACUGACGCUCAGGCACGAAAGCGUGGGGAGCAAAAGGG